AAAGAUCGACCUUUAGCGGCUCUAUGUUAGAAACGCAGCAAACUGUCAUUGUUGAGUAAAGGAAACUACGUCGUUUUACUCUCCUCUAAUUCUAUCCUAGCCAUAUACCUGAAACCCCAUUUUUUACCCUUAAAAUAUUUCCCCCAAUCUCUCAAAUUUUUGAAAAACCUUAAAUUUUCCCUAAACCAAAAUCGACACCCAUCGACUGCAGCGCCUCUGACCCAAGCAUCUGCAUAGCCAUUGAGUGUCCCCUCUGCUGCGUUGCCGUCCUCUGUCGCAACCAUACAGUCCCACUUGCAUUCAUAGGUAUAGAUAGAUAUCUACAUUGCAUGUUCGAUAUAAAUGGGCUGAAACACGAAUUUUUUUACUUCGAAGGUUAAUCGAUUGCAAAGCGAAGGUUAUUAUGGACGCGUGCGACUGCUUAUGUUCUUUUAGUUAACUCUUUCAUAAGCAUUGCAAGGAUAAUAACAUAAAUCUCACCAGGGAACUUCACCCUCUCGUAUUGGGCUAAUAUACCGCCAGGUAUUGCUUUGAACAGAAAAUAUAAUAAUCGAACUCAUAAUGUUCUUUUAGUUACUUAAUAUAUAUCAUUGUUCAUUUCCAUUUGUUUGUCACUUAUUUUCUCUAGCAUUGAAAUAAACGAUUUAUUGUAAUUAUUCUAACACAAAUAUGUAUGCAGUUUUGAUUACAAAAGUAAAUUGGAUAAUAAAACAAAUAUGACUUUAUUUCUGUAGUUA